UGGGUUUAUAACUCAGUGGAUUAGAGUACAUGUUUCCGACGCAUGAUGUCGAGGGUUCAAUUCCCUCUAAACCCAUC
rnacentral:tRNA from 1 species